rnacentral:lncRNA from 1 species
AAAAAAAUGUAAAUAUUCUUGUGGAAAAUCAUCCAUAUGACUGUUCAAUUGAUCUUUAAGAAGAAGUACAACCAUCAUUUGAAUUAAUUUAUAAUUUAUUUAAAAUGAAUUAGCUAAAUUUAAGGAGUAUAUUGAAGAAAAUCGAGCCAAGAACUUUAUACACUAUUGUAUUACGUGUUGUUUUGCUUUGGAAUGCACCGAGCACCUAACUAUAGAAGGUGAGAUUGUGUUUCAUAUAUAGCCAAGAAAUUCUAAUAAGUUUCAUCCAUAUAAGAAGAAUAUAAUCUGAAUUUUAAUUCAAAAAUAAUAAAAACACUCUUCUUAGUAGUUUUAACCAUAUAUAAAUCCCAAUAACCUUAUUACUUUCAUAUUUAAGUAAUUUAGAUUUUUUUUGUAAGCCCCAAUCCUAAUCAAUGAGCUUUAACAAGCUAUAACAUCCAAUCCAAUUGUCCACUUGAUGUAGAAUUUUGCUUACAGUUUUCAAUGUAAGUCUUCUAUGUGCUCAAUAAAUUUUAGCCCAAUCCAACUUAAAAAUUAUGAGAAAAUCUCCAAAAAUUACACUAAUGUCACUUGGCUGCCAACUUGAAAAGUAAAGCAAAAAUUCCAGCAAUGAUUUUUCCCUUUCCAACUAUUAACUUUGUGUCAAAAAAGAUGUAUAGCUUGAUCUUCAAGUCCUUCAAUACUAUGCCAAUUUUUACCUUAAUCCAACUAAUAGAUCUUUAGAUAUCAUAGAAACCCUACCUAACCUCAAACUGCCAUCUUCUGAAACCCUCUUGUGCUAAAAACUAAAUAUCUCUAAACCAUGCUGUUAGAUUAUUACAAAAUUUUUUAUACACUUAGCACACCCAAUAAUCCAAAUAAUGUUAAGUUUUCAACUGUAGAUGUCACUACAAUUGCCCGAACUAGCUAGAAUUGCUAGCCCUAAUUAUAUUAUAUAAAAUCCAAAUCACUGAUACAA